rnacentral:rRNA from 1 species
AUUGAACGCUGGCGGCAGGCCUAACACAUGCAAGUCGAGCGGAGCGGCGGACGGGUGCGUAUUGCCUAGGAAUCUGCCAGGUAGUGGGGGAUAACGUUCGGAAACGGGCGCUAUUACCGCAUCCUAUCAGAAGAGCCUAUGGCGGAUUAGCUAGUUGGUGGGGUAAAGGCCUACCAAGGCGACGAUCCGUAACGGGUCUGAGAGGAUGAUCAGUCACACGGGAACUGAGACACGGUCCAGACUCCUACGGGAGGCAGCAGUGGGGAAUAUUGGACAAUGGGCGAAAGCCUGAUGCAGCCAUGCCGCGUGUGUGAAGAAGGUCUUCGGAUUGUAAAGCACUUUAAGUUGGGAGGCGUUACCAACAGAAUAAGCACCGGCUAACUUCGUGCCAGCAGCCGCGGUAAUAC